rnacentral:ncRNA from 2 species
AUGUAAAUAAAUUAGUUCGUCCGUAUAAUCUUGAAAAUAUGGUUCAAGAGUUUCUACCAGAGUACCGUAAAUCUCUGACUAUGGGUGAAUCCGCAUUAUAU